GUCUAUGGCCAUGCUACCCUGAACAAGCCUGAUCCCGUCUGAUCUCAGAAGCUAAGCAGGGUCGGGCCUGGUUAGUACUUGGAUAGACCACCCAGGAAGACCAGGUGCUGUAGGUG
rnacentral:rRNA from 1 species